rnacentral:rRNA from 1 species
UGGGGAAUAAUGGACAAUGGGCGAAAGCCUGAUCCAGCAAUGCCGCGUGAGUGAUGAAGGCCUUAGGGUUGUAAAGCUCUUUUACCCGGGAUGAUAAUGACAGUACCGGGAGAAUAAGCUCCGGCUAACUCCGUGC